AUAGAAGUGAGGGAAGAAACAUUUCCUAUCGAAGGAGGUAUGCUUCCAGAGAGGAAGUUCCCUGUCAGGCAAAGAAAUUUGAGUGCUGUGACCUUAUGGAAACGUGGGAUGAGACCAGUGAAAGAAUUCUUCUGGAGAUCAACCUUAGUAAGCUUAGAUAAGUUAUCAAACAAAGUAGAAGGGAUCUCUCCAGAGAGGUUAUUACGUGACAGUAUAAGUGUGUUGAGUGAGGAGCAAUUGGUCAAUGAGAGAGGGAUACCGCCUGUAAGAGUGUUGUUUCCAAGAUGCAGUGUAUGGAGGUUUGGAAGCUUACCCAACUCUCCAGGGAUGGUUCCCGAUAGAUCAUUAUCAGCAAGGUUCAUCGAA
rnacentral:rRNA from 1 species